GCCUUUGUGGCUCAGUGGCUAGAGCAUUGGCCUGUGAACUGAAGGGUCCCGGGUUCAACUCUGGUCAAGGGCA
rnacentral:tRNA from 1 species